CAGCCGCCGCGGUAAUACGAAGGGGGCUAGCGUUGCUCGGAAUGACUGGGCGUAAAGGGCGCGUAGGCGGUUUGUACAGUCGGAUGUGAAAUUCCUGGGCUUAACCUGGGGGCUGCAUUCGAUACGUGCAGGCUUGAGUGUGGAAGAGGUUGGUGGAACAGCUAGUGUAGAGGUGAAAUUCGUAGAUAUUAGCUAGAACACCAGGGCGAAGGCGGCCAACUGGUCCGAUACUGACGCUGACGUGCGAAAGCGUGGGGAGCAAACAGGAUUAGAUACCCCUGUAGUCCCUGUCUCUUAUACA
rnacentral:rRNA from 1 species